GACCAGACUCCUACGGGAGGCAGCAGUGGGGAAUAUUGCACAAUGGGGGGAACCCUGAUGCAGCGACGCCGCGUGAGUGAAGAAGUAUCUCGGUACGUAAAGCUCUAUCAGCAGGGAAGAAAAUGACGGUACCUGACUAAGAAGCCCCGGCUAACUACGUGCCAGCAGCCGCGGUAAUACGUAGGGGGCAAGCGUUAUCCGGAUUUACUGGGUGUAAAGGGAGCGUAGACGGCACUGCAAGUCCGGAGUGAAAGCCCAAGGCUUAACCAUGGGACUGCUCUGGAAACUGUGGAGCUUGAGUGCGGGAGGGGCAGGCGGAAUUCCUAGUGUAGCGGUGGAAUGCGUAGAUAUUAGGAGGAACAUCAGUGGCGAAGGCGACUUUCUGGACUGUAACUGACGCUGAGGCACGAAAGUGUGGGGAGCAAACAGGAUUAGAUACCCGAGUAU
rnacentral:rRNA from 1 species